rnacentral:misc_RNA from 1 species
GCUUGCUGUCAAAAUGAACAAAGGACAGAAAAACAAAGUUGAUUGUGUUUUUGUUAAAAAUUUUUUAACACUUUUAAAAAGAUUACCGAUUACCGGCAUAUCAUAGGUAAGAAACCGAUAGACGAUGGCCGUAAUAAUUAAUGAAAUGGGGCAAGAAAAUAUAGACGAACCAUUUAAAAUAAUUGACAUUGAGCAAUUAGAGCAAAACAGUAUUUGCCAUAAUUGCCAUAAAUUAUUAAAUGUUAUACCUAUUUAUGGUCUUCAGCAAGAAGAUGAUACAAUACAUGAAGUAUGUGGCCGAUGUCUUCACAUAGCCGAGAAACACAAAGGGGUAAAAUGGAGGCAAAUCUCAUAUGAAAAGAUAGCACAACACAUGACUUUCCCCUGCUGUUAUAAAAUGGAGGGGUGCAAUUCGGUGCUAACUUGGGAUACAGUCUUAGAUCAUGAAGUAGGAUGCCCCAAAGCCUUUUUGGUCUGUCCGUUUAAUGACAAUGGUGUUUACAAGGGACUCAACUGCCUUUGGAAAGGAAACACUGCAGAGUUUCAGAAGCAUAUUGAAGAUGAACAUGGAGAAUUAAUAAUUAAUCCACCAUUUUUAGAAGAACUACCUAAACAAAACCAAAUCUACUUUAGUUAUGUAAAUAAGAUAUUAGUUAUGAUUGUUAUUUUAAAGGAAAGUGAUAAUAAGUAUUUCUCUUGUGUAUUCUUUAAUGGCAGUGAUGUUGAAACACAGUACUAUAAGUAUCAAGUAGAAUUAAUAGAUGAAAGUAAAACCAGUUCCAUUAUAUUGCGAAAAUAUAGACUUGAACCUUAUGGAAAUUUUUUGGCUAUCUUAGCUGAUAAGAAAAAGUUGCUGGAGAUAAAUUUGGAAGUAGUGAAGCCUAUGAUUAAUCAACAAGGAAAAAUAUUCUCAGCUAGAUUUGGCAUUACAAUGAAAAAUAAAAGAGAUGUAAACCAAAUUGCCAAGGACAAUAAUGUCACAAGCUGCAAGAUUCCUAAAAUGGCUCCAAGCAAUACAAAACACCGCGUUCCUGAUGAAAAUCUUCUUGCGGAAUUAGAAUGUCCUGUUUGCAAUGAAUAUAUGGUACCACCGAUUUACAUAUGUGGUAAUGGUCACAGUCUGUGUAACGAAUGUAUUGAAAAAGUUCAAUGCUGUCCCAAUUGUCGAACUUCCUUAGCCACUAAAACACGAAACUAUACAGUAGAGAAACUGACAACUAAAGUGAAUUAUCCGUGUAGACAUCGAGAUAUCGGCUGUGGUUUUUCAACAACAUCCGACAACAUUCGGGAACAUGAAAAGAACUGUGAUUUGGCAGAUACCGAUUGUAUUUUUAAGUGUGGCGAGAAAUUUACAAGAUCAAACCUUCUGAACCAUAUUAACACUGCACACAAAGAUGGCGUGAUACAGCUCAACGUUGUUAAUACUUUAAAUAUAUUACACAAGAAAGAGAUUACACUUGUUGUAUCAGCUUUUGGAGAGAUGUUUAGACUGAGUAUAAAAACAGUACAAUCCGCUGCAACGAGUCCAGAAUACAUUUUCAAAUUGAAUGUUCAGCACAUGGAAGACGUAAAUCCGCCUUCGGUAUAUCGUUACAGAUUCGACUUUAUUGACCAAAGCGACGAAGGUAGAAGUACCACCAUAAUGAGUACUACCCAACCGAUAUCUGAAAAACCACUGAAAUUAGCUCAUGUGACCGUACCGCACCACGUCAUCAAAGCAGCUACAAAAGAUAAUAAGCUGCAUUACAGAUUUAACGUGUAUAUUGCUAAACGGAAAAGAAUAUCAUCUGUGUAAUGUUGACUAGGCUGUUAGUAUUUUUUUAUUAUAAGCAUAGCAUACAGUAAAUGUUUUUAAUCUUGUUUGGUAUUUUCUUUGAGCAUAUACAGUGAGCGCGUAAAGGUUGGAAUAAAUUCAUUUUUUCAUGAAUGGGCGAUUUUGGAAAUAAAUCCCAAAACAGGUUGAUAUAUUAUCUUAUCUUAUUUUUUAAAUUAUGACUGUUUGGCAUAUACAGGGUGUUAGUAAAUAAGUAUGAAAAACUUUAAGGGGUAAUUCUACAUGAAAAAAUAAUGACAGUUUGCUUCAUAAACAUAUGUCCGCACAUGCUUUGUUUCCGAGAUACGCGGUGUUGAAAUUUUUUAUUUCAAGCUGCAAAUUUUUUUAUUACUCUAAGGCCGUUUGAGCUUUGGAAAUUAAAUUUGGUGGGUUUUAAGAGGUAGUUGUUGCGCAUCUUUUGAUGUACAAAUAACAAUUUUGUAUUCAUCAUUGGCGCGUACUGGUAAUGGUCUGAAUUUUUUUAAAGAAAGAAAUAUUACGCGGCUGAGAUAUUUUAAAUUAAAAAUUAUUUUUGUAUUCCACGUUUAAUUUAUGAAAAACAACCUUUCUCAUAUUCUUUUCAUAUGGUGCACCGUUUUUAUGGAAAAAAAAUGAAACAUCUUCGCGCGUAUUUUUCAUUUCAUAAUACAUUAUCAAGAACUCUCCAAUAUAAUAAUACCAAACUAGAACAAUAACAGAAAAUAUUUCUAAAAAGAUUUUAAAUUGUGCAAGGCUACAAAAAUUUUUUCAAAAUUACCUCCUUUAAAGGUGACAGAGUAAUUUUAUAUUCACCAUUGGCGCGCGUACGUGUAAUUGCCUGAAUUUUUAAAGAAAAAAAUAGUACGCCACUGAGAUAUGUCAAAUUAAAAAUCAUUUUUUAAUUCCUCAUUCAAUUUACGACUAAAAAUCGUUCCUGUCUUUUUUUCAUGAGGCGCCAUUUUUAUGCAUAAAAAUAAAACAUCUUAACGUUUACAAAGUAUUUGAAUAAAAAUUUCUAUUAUGUUAUCUACCUCGAAUAAUUUGUAAGCGUUAAGACGUUUUAUUUUUUUGUAUAAAAAUGGCACUCCAUAUGAAAAAUAGAUAAGAAUGAUUUUUUGUCGUAAAUUGAACGAGGAAUUCAAAAAUGAUUUUUAAUUUGACGUAUCUCAGUGGCGUACUAUUUUUUUUUAAUUCAGACCAUUACCUGUACGGGCGCCAAUGGUGAAUAUAAAAUUAUGCUGUCACCCGUAAAGGAGGUAAUUUUGAACAUUUGUU